UAACGUACACAGAACCUUUGUUGAGGACGAGGUUUUUGCAAUGUUUGUGCAAAUGUGAAGAUAUAUAGCCCUGAUGAUGUUUUCGAACUGAAAACGAAAUAUAUUGGCAAAAAGAAAA